CCUACGGGUGGCAGCAGUGGGGAAUAUUGGGCAAUGGGCGCAAGCCUGACCCAGCAACGCCGCGUGAAGGAAGAAGGCUUUCGGGUUGUAAACUUCUUUUCUAAGGGACGAAGAAAGUGACGGUACCUUAGGAAUAAGCUCCGGCUAACUACGUGCCAGCAGCCGCGGUAAUAUGUAGGGAGCGAGCGUUAUCCGGAUUUACUGGGUGUAAAGGGCGUGUAGGCGGGAUGGCAAGUCAGGCGUGAAAACUAUGGGCUCAACCCAUAGCCUGCGUUUGAAACUGUCGUUCUUGAGUGAUGGAGAGGCAAGCGGAAUUCCGUGUGUAGCGGUGAAAUGCGUAGAUAUACGGAGGAACACCAGUGGCGAAGGCGGCUCUCUGGUCUGCAACUGACGCUGAGGCUCGAAAGCAUGGGUAGCGAACAGGAUUAGAUACCCGAGUAGUC
rnacentral:rRNA from 1 species